CGAAUCAAUCGCUCAAUCGUCCGUUCAUCAGAACUCUAUUUCGCUUUGUUCUCCGUAGAGACGAAAUCCGCAGUAGCAUUUUUAUUCCGGAAAAUAAUUUAGCGCGGCCCGAUUUAGUGUUUUGGGCCAGCCCAACCCAGCCCAUUUGGCCCACUAAGAAACCCCACUAAAACCCUAGACCUCACAUGUCUAUAAAUAUGAGGCCUUCCCUUUGCAAAGUUGGAGAAAAUUACCACUCCCUACCCCUAGCCGUCACACCCAACACCCUGCCACCCUUCUCCCCCACGCCAUCCUCCUCACUCUCUCCCACACGGCAGCAGGCAGGGCGCCAUCUCCUAGCAGCUCCUCCCAUGGCGUCCUCUGCCCUUCUUCCUCCCCUGGCCGAACUACUACACAGCAGCGGCAGCUGCUCCCAUGGAUGGCACCCAGAUUUUCGCGCCCUCAGCCAUGGCGCCCAAGCCCUUCUUCCUUUCUUCAACCAGUAGCUCGGCGCCCCUCUUUGCUGGCCUUUCUUCCCCAUCGCGCGCAGGGCUGUUGGUAGGAGCGCGGCAUGGUCGGAGCUCUACUCCCCUAGCUGAGCGCCCCUUGUUGUUCUCCUUGACGCCCUUUGGCUGCUCGACAAACUGCGCAACAAGCCACGCACUGCAGCAGCCCUCGCUCGCUCUAUCCUCUAGCUCAUCGCCUCUCUGUUGCAGACCAGCACCACCCCUGCUCCUCUUCUCUCUACUGCGCAGCAGCACUCCCUCCCAUGGCACCCCUGUUUCCCUCUCCCGGCAGCGCAGCACCGCGCAGCCAAGUUUUCCCCCAGCCCCACAACAUCGACGUGCUGUGGGUGUUCGACAAAAUGCCCAUGGAAAGUCUUGCACUGCGCAGCCCCAUCCGUGACGCCGUAAGUCCUCGCUAGACGUUGCCGCGGAGCCGCGCGCGAUGCCUGUCCCGGUGAAGCCCCUAAACCGUGGACGCAUGUGCAACCCGAAUCCAAGUUUGACAGGACUGAGAGAUGCCGAUCGAGCAACUGACGUGGUGCCAACCACAAGAUGCAAUUGGUGGACGACCCCAAAGAAGGAUGGACAUAACUAGUGGAUGCUCGCCAAGCGAGUGCCCCCCCAGCAAACACUACCUAAGUGUUAAAUUAA